ACGAAGUACUAUUUUGGUAUGAGCACAUUGGCCAUCGCCGCAUCAGUAGAACACGCCUGACUCUCCUCCACCAGUCAUACAAGGAGAAUGGUCUAAUGCCUCCCAUCAAAAAGAGAGCUGACCCAUGCAAGCAAUGGCAGCAGUGCAGUCAUCAACCACAUGCACCAUUUCUUCACCAACUACGGAGUUGGGGAAACACGUGUGGUACUGAAUUGUGAUAACUGCAGUGGCCAAAACAAGAACAAGUUUGUGCUCUGGUAUUGUGCCUGGUGAACCAUGCACAAGCUCCACCACAGUCUGGACCUUCACCUCCCGAUCACAGGCCACAACAAGUUUGCCCCCGACUGCUGCUUCGGCCUCAUCAAGCAGCGCUUCAGAAAGACAAGAGUGAACACUUUGUCUGAGAUUGCUGGUGUUGUGAAGGACAGCACUGUGAUAGGGGUCAACAUCCCACAGUUGGUUGGACUGGAGGAUGGUACGGCGCUGGUGGAAAGUUAUGGCUGGCAACAACACCUGACUCCUUACUUCAUGCCGCUGCCACAGAUCAAGCAGCACCAGCACUUCAG
rnacentral:lncRNA from 1 species